rnacentral:lncRNA from 1 species
AUGGGAAAGACUAGCGAUCUCUUCAAGAAAAUUAGAGACACCAAGGGAACAUUUCAUGCAAAGAUGGGCUCGAUAAAGGACAGAAAUGGUAUGGACCUAACAGAAGCAGAAGAUAUUAAGAAGAGGUGGCAAGGAUACACAGAAGAACUGUACAAAAGAGAUCUUCACGACCAAGAUAAUCACAAUGGUGUGAUCACUCACCUAGAGCCAGACAUCCUGGAAUGUGAAGUCAAGUGGGCCUUAGAAAGCAUCACUGCAAACAAAGCUAGUGGAGGUGAUGGGAUUCCAGUGGAGCUAUUUCAUAUCUUGAAAGAUGAUGCUAUAAAAGUGCCACACUCAAUACGCCAGCAAGUUUGGAAAACUCAGCAGUGGCCACAGGACUGGAAAAGGUCAGUUUUCAUUCCAAUCCCAAACAAAGGCAAUGCCAGAGAAUGCUCAAACUACCACACAAUUGCACUCAUCUCACACGCUAGUAAAGUCAUGCUCAAAAUUCUCCAAGCCAGGCUUCAGCAAUACGUGAACUGUGAACUUCCAGAUGUUCAAGCUGGUUUUAGAAAAGGUAGAGAAACCAGAGACCAAAUUGCCAACAUCUGCUGGAUCAUCAAAAAAGCAAGAGAGUUUCAGAAAAACAUCUGUUGCUGCUUUCUUGACUAUGCCAAAGCCUUUGACUGUGUGGAUCACAAUAAACUGUGGAAAAUUCUGAAGGAGAUGGGAAUACCAGACCACCUGACUUGUCUGUUGAGAAACCUAUAUGCAGGUCAGGAAGCAACAGUUAGAACUGGACAUGGAACAACAAACUGGUUCCAACUAGGAAAAGGAGUUCGUCAAGGCUGUAUAUUGUCACCCUGCUUAUUUAACUUAUAUGCAGAGUACAUCAUGAGGAACGCUGGACUGGAAGAAACACAAGCUGGAAUCAAGAUUGCCGGGAGAAAUAUCAGUAACCUCAGAUAUGCAGAUGACACCACUCUUAUGGCAGAAAGUGAAGAGGAACUCAAAAGCCUCUUGAUGAAAGUGAAAGAGAAGAGUGAAAAGUUUGGCUUAAAGCUCAACAUUCAGAAAACGAAGAUCAUGGCAUCUGGUCCCAUCACUUCAUGGGAAAUAGAUGGGGAAACAGUGGAAACAGUGUCAGACUUUAUCUUUUGGGGCUCCAAAAUCACUGGAGAUGGUGAUUGCAGCCAUGAAAUUAAAAGAUGCUUACUCCUUGGAAGAAAAGUUAUGACCAAUCUAGAUAGUAUAUUCAAAAGCAGAGACAUUACUUUGCCGACUAAUGUCUGUCUAGUCAAGGCUAUGGUUUUUCCUGUGGUCAUGUAUGGAUGUGAGAGUUGGACUGUGAAGAAGGCUGAGCACCGAAGAAUUGAUGCUUUUGAACUGUGGUGUUGGAGAAGACUCUUGAGAGUCCCUUGGACUGCAAGGAAAUCCAACCAGUACAUUCUGAAGGAGAUCAACCCUGGGAUUUCUUUGGAAGGAAUGAUGCUAAAGCUGAAACUCCAGUACUUUGGCCACCUCAUGAGAAGAGUUGACUCAUUGGAAAAGACUCUGAUGCUGGGAGAGAUUAGGGGCCAGAGGAGAAGGGGACGACAGAGGAUGAGAUGGCUGGAUGGCAUCACUGACUCGAUGGACGUGAGUCUGAAUGAACUCCGGGAGUUGGUGAUGGACAGGGAGGCCUGGCAUGGUGUGAUCAUGGUGUCGCAAAGAGUCGGACACGACUGA